GCUCAACCGAGGAAGUGCUUCGAAAACUGGUAAACUUGAGUGCAGAAGAGGAAAGUGGAACUCCAUGUGUAGCGGUGGAAUGCGUAGAUAUAUGGAAGAACACCAGUGGCGAAGGCGGCUUUCUGGUCUGUAACUGACGCUGAGAUUCGAAAGCAUGGGUAGCAAACAGGAUUAGAUACCCUGGUAGUCCAUGCCGUAAACGAUGAGUGCUAAGUGUUGGAGGGUUUCCGCCCUUCAGUGCUGCAGCUAACGCAUUAAGCACUCCGCCUGGGGAGUACGACCGCAAGGUUGAAACUCAAAGGAAUUGACGGGGGCCCGCACAAGCGGUGGAGCAUGUGGUUUAAUUCGAAGCAACGCGAAGAACCUUACCAGGUCUUGACAUACCAUGAAAAGCUUAGAGAUAAGUCUUUCCCUUCGGGGACAUGGAUACAGGUGGUGCAUGGUUGUCGUCAGCUCGUGUCGUGAGAUGUUGGGUUAAGUCCCGCAACGAGCGCAACCCUUAUUAUCAGUUGCCAGCAUUCAGUUGGGCACUCUGGUGAGACUGCCGGUGACAAACCGGAGGAAGGUGAGGACGACGUCAAAUCAUCAUGCCCCUUAUGACCUGUGCUACACACGUGCUACAAUGGUCGGUACAACG
rnacentral:rRNA from 1 species